AGUGAACGCUGGCGGUAGGCCUAACACAUGCAAGUCGAACGGCAGCACAGGAGAGCUCGCUCUCUGGGUGGCGAGUGGCGGACGGGUGAGGAAUACAUCGGAAUCUACUCUGUCGUGGGGGAUAACGCAGGGAAACUUACGCUAAUACCGCAUACGACCUACGGGUGAAAGCAGGGGAUCUUCGGACCUUGCGCGAUUGAAUGAGCCGAUGUCGGAUUAGCUAGUUGGCGGGGUAAAGGCCCACCAAGGCGACGAUCCGUAGCUGGUCUGAGAGGAUGAUCAGCCACACUGGAACUGAGACACGGUCCAGACUCCUACGGGAGGCAGCAGUGGGGAAUAUUGGACAAUGGGCGCAAGCCUGAUCCAGCCAUACCGCGUGGGUGAAGAAGGCCUUCGGGUUGUAAAGCCCUUUUGUUGGGAAAGAAAUCCAGCUGGUUAAUACCCGGUUGGGAUGACGGUACCCAAAGAAUAAGCACCGGCUAACUUCGUGCCAGCAGCCGCCGAA
rnacentral:rRNA from 1 species